rnacentral:misc_RNA from 1 species
GUGAAUCAUCGAAUCUUUGAACGCAAAUUGCACUCUCUGGUAUUCCGGGGAGUAUGCCUGUUUGAGGGUCAGUUUAAAUUAAAAAUCGAGUUGUUGCUUUUUUUUGUGACGCAUCGGAAGUGGGUUGUCUUUGUCCUUUGGAUUUUUUAAGAGACCUAAAUUCAAUACUUUGUGCAUCUCAGUCGUACAUAAAUAAUAUUUUUUCUUUUUAUCCGUCCUGAGUUGCCAAAUUUUUAUUAGGUUUGAACAUGUUAUUUUGUCGAAUCGUACC